AAUCCAUGGUGAGGACAUCUUCUCAUCAAAUCCUUAUACCUCUCCCAAGUCUUAUAUAGUGAUUUAGAAUCAAAUUGCAUGAAAGAAGUAAUAUCAUUCUGCAUUU
rnacentral:snoRNA from 1 species